rnacentral:rRNA from 1 species
GAUGAACGCUGGCGGCGUGCUUAACACAUGCAAGUCGAACGAAGCACUCUAUUUGAUUUUCUUCGGAAAUGAAGAUUUUGUGACUGAGUGGCGGACGGGUGAGUAACGCGUGGGUAACCUGCCUCAUACAGGGGGAUAACAGUUGGAAACGACUGCUAAUACCGCAUAAGCGCACGGUACCGCAUGGUACCGUGUGAAAAACUCCGGUGGUAUGAGAUGGACCCGCGUCUGAUUAGCUAGUUGGUGGGGUAACAGCCUACCAAGGCGACGAUCAGUAGCCGACCUGAGAGGGUGACCGGCCACAUUGGGACUGAGACACGGCCCAAAACUCCUACGGGAGGCAGCAGUGGGGAAUAUUGCACAAUGGGGGGAAAACCCUGAUGCAGCGACGCCGCGUGAGCGAAGAAGUAUUUCGGUAUGUAAAGCUCUAUCAGCAGGGAAGAAAAAAAUGACGGUACCUGACUAAGAAGCA